rnacentral:rRNA from 1 species
GGGUCAGUAGGUUGGUCGUGCCACCGGUACGUACUGGUCUCACUGAUUCCUCCUUCCUGAAGAACCGUAAUGCCAUUAAUUUGGUGUUGCGGGGAAACAGGACUGUUACUAUGAAAAAAUUAGAGUGUUUAAAGCAAGCUAACGCUUGGAUACAUUAGCAUGGAAUAAUGAAAUAGGACGAUCGAUCCUAUUUUGUUAGUUUCUAGGGUUGACGUA